GACGAACGCUGGCGGCGUGCUUAACACAUGCAAGUCGAACGGAAAGGCCUUGCUUUUGUGGGGUGCUCGAGUGGCGAACGGGUGAGUAACACGUGAGUAACCUGCCCUUGACUUUGGGAUAACUUCUGGAAACUGGGGCUAAUACCGGAUAGGAGCUCCUGCUGCAUGGUGGGGGUUGGAAAGUUUCGGCGGUUGGGGAUGGACUCGCGGCUUAUCAGCUUGUUGGUGGGGUAUUGGCUUACCAAGGCUUUGACGGGUAGCCGGCCUGAGAGGGUGACCGGCCACAUUGGGACUGAGAUACGGCCCAGACUCCUACGGGAGGCAGCAGUGGGGAAUAUUGCACAAUGGGCGGAAGCCUGAUGCAGCAACGCCGCGUGCGGGAUGACGGCCUUCGGGUUGUAAACCGCUUUCGCCUGUGACGAAGCGUGAGUGACGGUAAUGGGUAAAGAAGCACCGGCUAACUACGUG
rnacentral:rRNA from 1 species